GACGGCAGUCAGCAAUCCACCAGCGAAGCAAGCAGUGGCUGGUGCUCCGGCCAGCAAUCAAACAAGCGAACGUAGCGCACGGAACACAGGCGCAACGAGUGAGUGAGCGCACGAAGUUCAAACAGAGACACAACGUAGCAGUGGUAGUGUAAUCAGUGGUGGCAGCAAAAGCAGUGGUGCUGCUGUAUAGGUCUAUACAGCUACAACAACAGCAUACGUACUCACCUAUGUCAUGGAUUUGUUGUGCGAAUGAGAGCGCGAUAAAAUGGCCGCCGAAAACCGCAGCAGCGAGAAGAGCUCAAAUAUAUCUUUGCUCUCGCCUAAGGGCACUGUAGUAAAUACUACAGAAUGGCAGGCAGGCAAAUGGCAACAGCAACAACAACAAUCGACAUUUGUGUGACUUAUACGGAGAGCGUGCGACUAUAUUAUUGUUAUGCCAAGCGUCCAUGAAACUACAAGGAGCGAAUGAAAGAAAGCGAUAUACGACUUUGCAUUUAAGCCGCAUUGUUAUUGGAAAGUAUAAUGCCACAAUAGCAAAAACUACUCCUACUAUUUACUUCUCGCACUUCUUUUGUGCUUGAUGUCCGUUCGCAAGACACUUGAGAGUUUUCGCCACUUCACAGCCCAACGAAGAGAAAUCGCAGCAGCAGCCGCAAAUGCCAACGACAAUGGAAGAGUAUUUGCGCUUCACGCCGCUCAUUCACCAUUUUCACCGCCUCGUUAGACUGCGAUGGCAGACAUUGGAGCGGCAGCACCAACCAAGCAAAAUAUUCGCUUGAAAGGCUAAGCUACUUAAAAUUCCAACGGAACGCCUACCACAUACUAUUACUGACACUGUUUGCCAUUGUCUAGUGCGCACUUUUCUCUGUUUCACGGCCUUUUGACCAAAUAUGUGGCCACCAAAGGCUAUCAAAGGAUUUCAGCAGCAGCCAAGGAGGGCGCUAAACACAUGUAAAUUUGGCAGCACGGCACUUGGCAAUGACCUACAAAAAUUAUUUAUUCAAAGAUUUAUUUUUUGGUUGCCAUGUGUGUGGAGAAGCAGACAGACAGAUAACCAGCCAGAAAUCCUGUUUUCCAUCACUACACUGCGCUGCUAAGUGAUUUUAUGCUAAAUGCGCACGCGUCACACUCUAAAAAAAUAUGAUAAUAAUGCAAAUAAACGGGCUAGAGAGCGCGCAAACGAAUACAUAUAUACGAACUCGUAAAAGGCAAGGAAGGACUUGUUGCAUAAUUAUGCGCGUCACUUCGAAAGCCACGAAACGCUGGUGCUACUAAAAAAUUUAUGAAUGAAAAAUGCAGAGAAGGCCGCAGUGUAGUUUUACGCUACUAAACUCCUGCCGCUUUGGCUCAAUCAUAUGGACAGCGACCAAUAGUGCUGGCAUAUCGGCAGCGACGGCGCGCCGCAGCGGCAACAUCACCGCUGCAUGGUGGUAUUGGUGGCACCGGAGACGCGGCUGCUGCAGCCGGUGUGUUCAUGGUGAUGAUAAUGAGCAAGAUUAGCAUUUCGCAGCUUUUUCGUGAACCGUUUUAACCGCGCCAAAGUCAGCAGGGGCACACCAAGCCAAGCAAAAAACCAAAUCAAAACCUCAGCUUCUACCGUAAUUAUUAGCAUAAUUUUUUGUGUUCAUCUCCGGGUGCAUAUUUCACUUAUUGUUUAUUCUGUAGUAGGUAUUUUUUGUAUGUAUAUACAUAGGUAGUACGAGUAAUUAUGUAUGUGUGGUGUAGCGGCGUCGGUCAUUUCACAGCUUUUCAUUGAGCACGUCGAUAAAAGACGAAAAGAGUCCAUCCACUGCAGCGUUCGCUGGCUACCAGUGUUGCCAGAACUUUUUGGGCCGACCGGCUAAUUUGGCCAAAAAAUAGGCUUAAAUGUUUCAACUAAA